AGAUCUCAACAACGUCUGAUUCUCAGCUGACAUGUCAUGACAACACUCAACAGAUACAGACCCUGCCUUAGGAGGCCCAUCUAAAGAUCAUUGCAAGAAGGACAAAUAUCACAGCAGGAGGGAAGAGCACGAACAACCUG